rnacentral:lncRNA from 1 species
UUGUGGUCAAGGAGGUAGUCACAAAAAUGAUAUUUGGGUUUAGGUUUGGAUGUCCAACGAAGUUUGCGAAAUUUCCAAUGUAGAAAUCCACAAUGCAUGGAUAGAAAGCCUAGAACCAAGAGGUUACACAAAAAGGAAUGACCAGCUUCUAAGUCUCAUACCACAGAAGUAGAUCCUGAAUGAAUUCACCUAAAAAAUAAAUUUUGUAAUCUACAGCUCAUAAAUAUUUGACUUUGGAUGGGUAGAGCAAUUGCAAAAAGUAUUGUUGACAAGGUCAACAUGAGUUGUAACAAAAAAUAAAAGAGCCUUUGAUCCAUUUAAAAGAGAGAGCAAUAAAGAAAUAUAUGGGUCCAAAUUAUCAUAACCUCCACAAAAAUAUAAGCCGGUAUUUAUGUCAAUUUCAAUUCAUGUUAGAGAGAGCAUUAGUUCAAUGGUGUAAUAACCAAGUACAAAAAUUAAACAAAGCGGCAACGAUCAUCAUCUUUUAAUAUGACAAGAACUUAAACCAUCACAAUUAAUCACAUAUCAUUAUGUUCAGGUGAUGCAUAUUUUAUUAAGCAUGGCACGGUGAAACACACAAACUGAAAAUAAAGAGAAAAUAAAAUAGAAAAGUAAACUAGAAAAUACUACGCACACCCAACACACAUGCUGAAAUAAAUAAAUAAAAAGAAAAGAAAACUCAAACCACACAUGUGCAUUUUUAUUCGUCCCCUCUGGUCUCUAAUCCAGGUCAUCUUGUAGCAGGUCGUAGUGUGGCUCUCCCUGUGACGUCUCUCCUUGCUGUUGGUACUCGUGAUACCCCUGC